GGUAAAAUAUUCAUCAGUAUGACACUAAAGGACAAAAAGACCCUCUGAAGCUUUAUAGGGAUAAAAUCUAGUACAAAGCUGAUGGCCCCAUGACGAUAAAGAGCCAGAAGAACUGUUUAAUUGGGGCGAUAAGCUUAUCUAAUCCACCUAAGCCAACUAAUAAGUGCAAAGAUACAUGUUUCGCUUAAUGGCCCAAGAAGUCCUUCCAGUAUUUAAAUGCUAUCUUAAUGAGCUUAAAAUUAAUCUACCAACACCAAGCUACUCUACGGAUAACAGGCUUAAUUUCGGCAAUACGAAAGCUCACAUUAUCAAGAAAAAUGCACCUCGAUGUCGGCUUAUCAUCACCAAAUCUGUAGCUAGCUUAUUGGUGGGAGUGCUCAUCCCGUAAUCGGUCGUGA
rnacentral:rRNA from 1 species